rnacentral:misc_RNA from 1 species
UGCCACCAUCUGAAAUUUUGUCUAGUCUACUGACAACUCUAUCAAUUAGUUCAUUGACUUGGCAAUUGGUUAUUUUUGACACAGCUUCAAAAAAGCAAGCAUUCUUUCGAAUUGCAGCUUCCUUUUCCUUUUCUUUCCUUGCUUCAUUUGUCCUAUUAGAUGAGGAACAACCUGGCCCGCUAUUGCUCCUCUUUUCACUCUUGCAUUUUUCUUCCUUCAGAGUUUGGAUUUGAUGUAAGAUUGGUAAUUUGCCUUUCCUAUUUUCAAUAAGCUCUACCAACCCUGAUCCUCCUCCUUUGUCCUUGUUUAGUUUCUCUUUUCCAUCUACUUUGACUUCAGUCACAUUCUUUCCUUCAUCUUUGGACUUAUGUGCAUUAUUUAACCCCUCAUGCACGUAUGUUGAAGAAGCUUCGAGUUCCCCUAUUACAUGUGAAGAAAUUGCAAGACCACAUUCAGUGGUAUUCAUUUGGACUCCCUCUCCACUCAGACUUGAUUUGGAGUUGGCGGGUGAAUCUGAAUCCAUUGAGUUCAACUGCAAAAAAUUUUUAACUGAAAUGAUUGACAUUGGUUUGGAUAACUCGUUUCUAUCAUUUAAAUGAACAUCUAAAAGCAGUGUGUUCACAUAAACAGAAAAGCUUAUGUCUUCAAUGAACAAGUCGUCCAAAAUCAUUUUCUGAUAAAAGUCCUUGCUCAUCAACCAAUGAUCAAACUUUCCUUCACCUCCUGUGAUGAUAUUUAUUGUUGAACUCCAGGGAUUCUUAAUGAAAUCUGAAAAGGUGAACUCUGAUCCCACUUUAAAUUUGAUCAACACCUCAGACAACUCAGAAACAAUCUUAGCUUCAACCAUGCUUAGAUUGAAGUCAGAUAGUUGCCUCAAUUUUGCUAGAGCCGACUCAAUGUCUGGUUUUUUGAGGCAUAUCAAGUAGGAAAAGACCUUUUCUAUUACCCAAGUUCUCACUCGGCAUUUGAUUCCUCUAAUUCUACCAUUUGCUGAAAAGAAUCUUUCCACUUUCUUGGGAUUGACUAAGUUAAAGUCCUUAAAGACUCUGGUGCACUCAGUCGUCAAAUUUCCUUGCACACAAGAGAAUAAAUGAUGGGCUCCAUAGGUGCAUAACUUAGUUAUUUUAUAAUUCAGAAAGAGUGUUCCCUGUUCGGCUCUAUCCACAUGGAUGUUUAAUCCACCAGCAUUCAUGAACCAAUUGUUUGAGGCAUCUUGGAUGUAGGGUUCAGAACCCUUUCCAUCAGGGUAAAAGAACAUGUUCCCACCUCGAAUCUCAAAUGAAUAAGCUAUUGUGUUC